rnacentral:rRNA from 1 species
UGGGGAAUUUUGGACAAUGGGGGCAACCCUGAUCCAGCAAUGCCGCGUGUGUGAAGAAGGCCUUCGGGUUGUAAAGCACUUUUGUCCGGAAAGAAAACGUCGUGGUUAAUACCCGUGGCGGCUGACGGUACCGGAAGAAUAAGCACCGGCUAACUACGUGCCAGCAGCCGCGGUAAUACGUAGGGUGCAAGCGUUAAUCGGAAUUACUGGGCGUAAAGCGUGCGCAGGCGGUCCGCUAAGACAGAUGUGAAAUCCCCGGGCUUAACCUGGGAACUGCAUUUGUGACUGGCGGGCUAGAGUAUGGCAGAGGGGGGUAGAAUUCCACGUGUAGCAGUGAAAUGCGUAGAGAUGUGGAGGAAUACCGAUGGCGAAGGCAGCCCCCUGGGCCAAUACUGACGCUCAUGCACGAAAGCGUGGGGGAGCAAACAGGAUUAGAUACCCUGGUAGUCCACGCCCUAAACGAUGUCAACUAGUUGUCGGGUCUUCAUUGACUUGGUAACGUGCUAACGCGUGAAGUUGACCGCCUGGGGAGU